UACGAGAGGUCCAAACGUUAUUCGGAAUUACUGGGCUUACAGAGUUCGUAGGCGGCUCUACAAGUGAGGUGUGAAAGCCCUCGGCUCAACCGAGGAACUGCGCUUCAAACUGUAGAACUAGAGGGAGAUAGAGGUGAGCAGAACUGAUGGUGGAGCGGUGAAAUGCGUUGAUAUCAUCAGGAAUACCGGAGGCGAAGGCGGCUCACUGGAUCUCUUCUGACGCUGAGGAACGAAAGCUAGGGGAGCAAACGGG
rnacentral:rRNA from 1 species